rnacentral:rRNA from 1 species
UGAACGCUGGCGGCGUGCUUAACACAUGCAAGUCGAACGGAGUUUACAUGUGAGCGGAGGGUGCUUGCAUCUAACAAUCUUUUGUAAACUUAGUGGCGGACGGGUGAGUAACGCGUGGGUAACCUGCCGUAUACAGGGGGACAACAGUUGGAAACGACUGCUAAUACCGCAUAAGCGCACAGGACCGCAUGGUCUGGUGUAGAAAAACUCCGGUGGUACAAGAUGGUCUCGCGUCUGAUUAGCUAGUUGGUGAGGUAACGGCUCACCAAGGCGACGAUCAGUAGCCGGUCUGAGAGGAUGAACGGCCACAUUGGGACUGAGAUACGGCCCAGACUCCUACGGGAGGCAGCAGUGGGGAAUAUUGGGCAAUGGGCGAAAGCCUGAUGCAGCAACGCCGCGUGAGCGAUGAAGGCCUUCGGGUCGUAAAGCUCUGUCCUCAAGGAAGAUAAUGACGGUACUUGAGGAGGAAGCCCCGGCUAACUACGUG